GUCAUGGGGUCUUUAGGCUUUGGAGGAUUUGGAAAGGCUUAGUCAUUCUUUUUACCGAGGAUAUUCGAUUUUCUAAGAACCUUUCCAACGCCUCCCAUGCCUAUAGUCCUCAUUGUACAUGUCACCCGAUCGCAG
rnacentral:pre_miRNA from 1 species